GAUGAACGCUGGCGGCGUGCCUAACACAUGCAAGUCGAGCGAUCUCUUCGGAGAGAGCGGCGGACGGGUGAGUAACGCGUGGGUAACCUGCCCUGUACACACGGAUAACAUACCGAAAGGUAUACUAAUACGGGAUAACAUACGAAAGUCGCAUGGCUUUUGUAUCAAAGCUCCGGCGGCACAGGAUGGACCCGCGUCUGAUUAGCUAGUUGGUAAGGUAAUGGCUUACCAAGGCAACGACCAGUAGCCGACCUGAGAGGGUGAUCGGCCACACUGGAACUGAGACACGGUCCAGACUCCUACGGGAGGCAGCAGUGGGGAAUAUUGCACAAUGGGCGAAAGCCUGAUGCAGCAACGCCGCGUGAGCGAUGAAGGCCUUCGGGUCGUAAAGCUCUGUCCUCAAGGAAGAUAAUGACGGUACUUGAGGAGGAAGCCCCGGCUAACUACGUGCCAGCAGCCGCAGUAAAAC
rnacentral:rRNA from 1 species